rnacentral:tRNA from 1 species
GCAGUGGUGGCUCAGUGGUAGAAUUCUUGCCUUCCAUGCGGGAGACCUGGGUUCGACCCUCAGCCAAUUCA